AUUCAGCUGACGCGUGCCAAACAGAACUAAAAGCGCGUCCUGGAU
rfam:Schistosoma haematobium scaffold2795_1, whole genome shotgun sequence.